rnacentral:rRNA from 1 species
AUGUCGGAGCAUAACUGGUCGGCGUACGAGGAGGCCCUCAAGGCCAAUCCGGUUCUUGCCAAGAUGAUGAUCAGCAGCGUCGUCUACUCCCUCGGCGACUGGAUAGCCCAGGCAUUUGAAUACUUUGGUGAAAUGCUAAUUACUCCCUCCGGUGCUCUAGCGCGACGACACGCCUACUUAGUUCCUAGCGCUCGCGAACGCCGGAGUUGGACGCGCCCAUGCAUGCAUUUUAGCUCCGAGGACGGCAUCGUGAACGCACAUACUCAGGUGCUCCUCAGCAGCAGUUGA